rnacentral:rRNA from 1 species
UACGUAGGUGGCAAGCGUUAUCCGGAUUUAUUGGGCGUAAAGGGAGCGUAGGCGGACUUUUAAGUGAGAUGUGAAAUACUCGGGCUCAACUUGAGUGCUGCAUUUCAAACUGGAAGUCUAGAGUGCAGGAGAGGAGAAUGGAAUUCCUAGUGUAGCGGUGAAAUGCGUAGAGAUUAGGAAGAACACCAGUGGCGAAGGCGAUUCUCUGGACUGUAACUGACGCUGAGGCUCGAAAGCGUGGGGAGCAAACAGG